GGCCGGUAAAGUCCGACCCCCACCUCCACGUGGUACCGGCUGGGUGCACAGGUCCCAACCCUUCGAGGUUCGCAGCUAACGGGGGCGG
rfam:Anopheles dirus strain WRAIR2 unplaced genomic scaffold supercont1.53, whole genome shotgun sequence.